CUGGCGGCGUGCCUAACACAUGCAAGUCGAGCGAGGAGAUCCUUCGGGAUGAUCCUAGCGGCGGACGGGUGAGUAACACGUGGGCAACCUGCCUCAUAGAGAGGAAUAGCCUUCCGAAAGGGAGAUUAAUACCUCAUAACAUUGCAGUUUCGCAUGAAACAGCAAUUAAAGGAGCAAUCCGCUAUGAGAUGGGCCCGCGGCGCAUUAGCUAGUUGGUGAGGUAACGGCUCACCAAGGCGACGAUGCGUAGCCGACCCGAGAGGGUGAUCGGCCACAUUGGGACUGAGACACGGCCCAGACUCCUACGGGAGGACAGCAGUGGGGAAUAUUGCACAAUGGGGGAAACCCUGAUGCAAGCAACGCCGCGUGAGUGAUGACGGCCUUCGGGUUGUAAAGCUCUGUCUUCAGGGACGAUAAUGACGGUACCUGAGGAGGAAGCCACGGCUAACUACGUGCCAGCAGCCGC
rnacentral:rRNA from 1 species